AACCUGGCAGCACAAUUAAACUAGUCUAUGACAACUUAUAUCAAACGGCGGCUUUCGAUUUAUUUGCGGUAGUUGGAAUCAGGUUGCGGCUCGUAGCGGUAAUUGAUUAUGACUUGUUAGAGCUGAUUCGAGCAAAUUUGAGUUUACUGUUGUAAUGUUCAGGGUGUAACUAAGGUCAGGUGUAGUACUAAAGCGCAUUUAUCAUGGCAUCGGUCAAGAACCUGGUGAUCUUUUGGUAUUUUAUUCACUAUGUUCAAGCAGUAGAUGAUUCCGCAUUGUUGAUGCUCCCAAACGAUCGACUAACUUUAGAUGGUACGAUUUCUGGCAUGGAAAGAUUCAAGCAUCCUAAAAGAAUUUUGCUUGUAACAGACUGUCAUCUCCGGUUUCCUAUACAUUCGCAAAGUUCAUCCGUGGCACCUGCUUCAGGGAACCAGCACGGCUGAAGGAGUUCGCCCAUAUUGGAGCGAUAGGCUGGGUCCAGUCGAAUGGCAGCAUUGCGUGGAAAUGCGGUGGAACCCUGAUCUGGGAUAACAUUGUAUUAACAGCUGCCCAUUGUGCCGUCGAUUCUAACGGUAAUCGACCUGAUGUUAUUAGAUUUGGUGAUCUGAAUAUCUACAGCUCCGAGGACGACGAUUAUGCACAACAGCUCAAAAUAAUUGACAUUAUUGGACACCCUAAACAUCGAUAUGUUGCUCAGUAUCAUGAUAUUGCACUGAUGAAGCUGGAGAAAUACGUUACUACUGAAUACUAGAGUUGAAAGGUGCUUCUUAUAAACAGAAUUUGGUUUCGUUUGUUUCUGAUUAUUGUAUAGCCUUCAUGAAACGGUUGCUCCCGCUUGUCUUUGGACUGACGAGGAAGUUAGAUUCAAACGAUUGGACGCUGCUGGCUGGGGACAAACGGGUUUUGUCGAUGCACAAACACCGGCGCUGCUGAAGGUAUCCCUCAAGCCGAUAGACAACGAAGAGUGUAGUAAAACUUACACAAAUGAAACCAACCACAAAUUACGCCAAGGCCUUCAGGAUCAGCACAUUUGUGCUGUAGAUGAAAAAAUGGAUACAUGUGAGGGUGAUUCAGGGGGUCCACUUCAAAUCAAACUGAUGUACAAUGGAAGGGUGACUCCUUUCAUUGUUGGAGUAACAUCUUUUGGAACGGUUUGGGGCACCUCUUCUCCUGGUGUGUACACGAAGGUGUCGUCCUACUAUGACUGGGUCAUUGAUACCAUGCGAACUUUAGGGAAAAAUGUAAACGAAAAUACUUAAAAUGCUACGUUUUGUGCAUUCCGAUAUGUAAACUGACGUGAAAACGAGGAUGGCAUUAUCACCUCAAGAACUGAUUCUUACGUUAUGACAGACUUAGACCAGCUGCAUGUGCAAGCUGCUGAUGAUUUUCCAAGCUACGUAGCGAAACUGGUAUUCCGUUCUGGAGGUCGUGAAGAUUGCUACGGUGCCAUAAUCGACGAAACUACAAUUUUGACAUUGGCUGAAUGCGUUUUUCAUUGUUGCGUUUAUGACUAACUAUGACUUAUAUAAUAAUAAUUCCAGAAACCUUGUUGAUAAUAUUUUAUAUUCGAAAGACCUACGGAUGAAAGUUGCCGGAUUUCAAGUUCACCCUGGACACACCAAUGGAUCUGCAUAUAAUAAUAUCGCAUUUUUGUUUAUGGAACAAUUUUUGGAUGUUAAUGGAUUGCAAACUGCAUGCAUUUGGCACCAAAAAGAGCUGCCAUCCAAUGAAGUGCACGUUUUCGGAACCGGUAGAGAGGACAUCAACAGACUUCAGCUUGAAGAUCCUUUGAUUGAUCCCACAAUAACUCUACUGAAGCCCCGUCUGACUGUCCAGAAUUCAUCUACAUGUGCUAUUUCCAAUCGAUACCAAAGCAGACUUAAAACUGGAUUGAAAAACGAGCAGAUUUGUAUCGGAGAAGAUUUCUUCUUGGUGCCAAAAUCUUGUGACCUGUUGAUUGAGGGAUCUAUCGAUGCAAUUAUGCUACGUGCAGGGAAUGAGUAUCCCACAACAUUCGGAUUAGUGCAGUUUGGAAGAGAUUGUGGAUUUGGGGAACACACAGUUGCAACCGGAUACGCCAAUCAUCUUGACUGGAUGAAAUCUGUCUGUGAUCAAUCGUACGAGUACCGAAAGAAAUGACGGGCUUCAGUUUCUAGAUCAUGAACUGCGCGAAGGAGAUGCCUGUGCUACCCGGGCAGGAGAGGAUAACAAAAUCAUAACUCAUCAAUAACAUAUUUAGUUAUAAGGACUCAUCGUGUUAUUCGAAAGAUAUUCACGUUUCAAACGUGCUUAUGAAAAUAUCAUAAAAUUUUGAUAUCAUAUCUCGCCAUGCCUUUAAUGAGAUGUUUGACAUGAUUUUAAAAUAUCUGAUUAAAAGUAAGAUUUUAAGUAAAAUUUUUUGAUAUUGAUUAUUUAUAAUGUAUCAGUUAUGCAUUCAGUGUUCAAUAAGUUGAAAAUAUCUGAAUCGGUCAUUUUCGUGAUUUUUAAUGCAAAUUCAUGGUUUGUUAUUGAAAUAUCAAGCUUUGUUAUUCAUAUAGUCUUGGAGGAACAAUAUUUUGGUAUUAUUUUUUGUUAUUUUACCAACUAUGUAAACCAUAUUAAGAUCAAAAUGAGGUGUAUUUCCAAUAUUUGGUUGUGAUAUUAGAAUGAUAUUUUGUCCUGUCCGGGUAGUAACGAUAAUAGAAAAGUGGGUCGUUGCGUGGCUGUUUCUAAAUGUCAGAGAAAGCUCAAACAAUUGUUAUCCUCUGGCAGUGUCCAUUUUUGUUCUUCCACCUCAGUGAUUUGCUGUUCUCUCGAUGAUAUUGAAGAUGAGUCCGAUAUCCAUCCGGAGUUAGCUGCUUGUCCGAAUGUUCUGCAAAAUAUUCGGCCAAGGUCGUCAGAAGGAUCACUGGUUCACAUAGGUUGGGUUGGGCGAUAUGGUUUGGAUUUCAAAUGCGUGGGCACUAUCAUAACGAGAAGUAUAAUUUUGACCACAGCCAGAUGUCUUAGAGGAGUCGUUCCGGAUGAUAUAAAACUAAUUGUAAAAGGAAGAACCUACACGCUUCAAGUAAGGACUGCUGUCAAGCACUACGCCUACAACGCAACCGACAAUAGCAACGAUAUUGCACUCGUACAGUUGGCAGAGCGUCUGAGAUGGAGUCCCGAUGUCUAUCCCUCGUGCCUUUGAAUGAAUAAAACUCACACUCCCUUAGUACUGGAUAUGGCUUCUCCAAGUGGACCCGUUACUGUGUCCUUUAAUACUGUGUUUGCGAUGUACAAUUCGGACUGCCAGAGGACAAACGAGUAUCAGUUGCCGGAAACUCAGCUUUGUGGGCGGGACCGUUGGCGGGGAGAAACCUGUGCAUUGCCCAGUACAGUGCAUUGGAAACGAAGCGAUGGAAUGAUAUUUGUGGUUGGCUUAUCUACAAACCAGCCGAAUUGUGAAUCGCGGUAUUACAUUGUAUUCACAAGACUUUCAGCUUUCUCCCAAUGGAUAAGUGACAUGCUUCGUGGGUAAUUAACAAAUGACAUUAUGAUUAUUUAGAGUUUCAACGAAAAUAAAG